rnacentral:lncRNA from 1 species
AGAAGGGAGAUCUGGCCCCCGGUCUUGGAUUCUGAGAUCAGUGCGAGAUCCCGGCUCUGCGCCCUGUCCGCCCUGGAACUGGAUUUAUCAUCAGUUUAGAAUAGCAUGGCUACGAUGUGUGGUGUGGAUGGAUGGACGAGCCCCGCAAGUACAUGAACUAAACAAGCUUCUCUCUUUUUUUUUGCCUUUGAUCUUUGUGCAAUCUGUUGGCUUCUCUUUUCCUCUAACAAUGUCACUUGUGUUUUAUUUUUGGUCUAUUUUUAAACUGUCUUCCUCCUUAA